AUGGUCAUCUCACAUAAAAUAGAGCGGUUAGUGCACCCAACGCAGGACAAGAGAAAUAUUUCACUCAUUUCGCCGCACUCUUGGAUAAAGGUCCCUAAACGAAUGCCCCGUUGUGGAGGCCGUGUUGUGGGGGAAAGGGAAACGGUGGAGAAUAUGGUCUGUGAUACCACCACCCUCCCCGGAGAUGAAGGAGAAGAUGCUAAGAUCCUGGGAAAGGCCGAAAGAGGAUGGGGAGGAGAGUCGGAGAAAACGCCAGCAGAGCUGCUAACGGUGCCGCGCCGGUGGCCCCGCCACCCGCCGGGUCGCAGCGCCCCGCGGACCGGGGGCCGGGAAGCCCAGGCCCGCAGCCGGAGGGAGGGAGGAGGUGGGAGAACGGGGCACACCAGCCCGGCCCGGGGGGAAGGGGGAGCAAGGAGAAGGGCAGGGGCGGAAGCGCCCCCCGCGAGCGCGGGCCCGCGCCCCACCGGCUACCUGGGCAGCCAGCUGCUGCUUCGCGCCGUCCGGCCGGGCCCUGCCGCGGGGAGCGCCGCGGGGAGCGCCGCGGGGAUCUCGGAAGCUCGGCGGCCCGGAGAGUCGCCAGAGAGCAGCGGCGCGGACGGCCGGCGAAGGGGUGGAGCGGAGUGAGGGGGGUGGGGUAAGAGGGCGCCGGGGGCCGGGCCGCCGGGUCACGUGGCCGGGCCGCCUCACGUGACGCCGACGCCACGCGCGCUGGGCGGACUCGGAGUUUAUCCGCCCGCCCCGCGGUGGCUGCGAGUCAGUAUUUUGGGGCUCUAGGCCAGGCGGCCCGGGGCUUCGCUGGAAGCCGGUUGGCUGACCUAGUCCUGCCCCCGAAGCUUUGCGGAGAGUCGUGGUGGAGCUUGGUGGCUGCCGAGACUCACAGGCUUUUGUCUCAGGGAGCCCGAGGGCUUGGCCGUGGGGGCGGCCGGCCAGCCACCCCGAGGGACCUAGGACGGAAAAGCGACGCGAAACUCCUUUCCCUGCCCCGUGGCAAGCCCUACUUCCUCUAGACACUACCCUGAUGGUGCUACCCGGGACAAAGGUCGUCGGAGGAGAUACUCCUUAUAUUUCAGGGAUGACCUCCCCGCCCCCGCGCCCUGACCGACCGGUCAAAGGACACCUGCGCAGGACCUGAGGGUGGGGAGGGAAGGUGGCAGCUGGACCACGAUCAGAAGGAAAAGUGAGGCACGGCGCCCAGAUGAUGAAAGGAAGGCACAGAUACCUCGGAAGCAGGCUGUCAGGAUUGGAAAGGACCUAAGACAGCAAAUGACACAACCCUUUUCUUUUUUUAAAUAUAUUUUUUUCAACGUUUAUUUAUUUUUGGGACAGAGCGAGACAGAGCAUGAACAGGGGAGGGGCAGAGAGAGAGGGAGACACAGAAUCGGAAACAGGCUCCAGGCUCUGAGCCAUCAGCCUGAUGCGGGGCUCGAACUCACGAACCGCAAGAUCGUGACCUGGCUGAAGCCGGACGCUUAACCGACUGCGCCACCCAGGCGCCCCAACCCUUUUCUUAUUAUAAAUGAGUAAACUGAGGCCGGGAGAGCUUCAUACUGCUCUAGCCUGUCAUCUAUGGAGACCACAAUCUUCUUGGUUAGGUAUUGCACGGCUCUUUGAAAACUCCAGUUAGCUCCACAGAAUAAAGUCCAAACGUCUUGGCA
ensembl:lncRNA